GAGGAAUAUUGGUCAAUGGCCUAACGGCUGAACCAGCAACUUGCAGGAAUGAGAGUUAAUAUAAUAAGUUUAUUAACUUGCUUGACUAGGUCUUAUAAAGUUCUGGAUAAAGCUUAUUAUGAAAACUUUAUAUCCAUAGGUCUCGACCAAAUCUUGUGCCAGCAGUCGCGGUAAGACAAGGGAGACGAGUGUUAUUCAUCUUUAACAGGUAUAUAGGGUACCUAGACGGUGUGCAAUGGCUUAAAUAAAUACCUGGUACACUUGAGUUUGAUAUGUGAGAGGAAUAUGUCGGAAUUGUUGGAGGAAAGAUGAAAUUUGUUAAUACCAAUAGGACUGAUAACGGCGAAGGCAAACCUCUAUGUACAUGUACUUGCUAUCUCUCUAUUAGAGAGGAACAGAAAUUUCUCUUAUAAAAAAUCUUAUAUAAAAAAAGAGGAAAACAGCAAUGUGCUAUAACUGACGUUGAGGGACGAAGGCUCAGAGAGUGAAGAGGAUUAGAUACCCCCGUAACCUGGGCAGACAAUGAUGAGUGCCAUAGGUUGGCUUUAAGGCGGAACUAUAAAUGAAAGUGGAAGCACUCCACCUCAAGAGUAAUGUGGCAACGCAGGAACUGAAAUCAUUAGACC
rnacentral:rRNA from 1 species